ACGGCAGCACGGGUGCUUGCACCUGGUGGCGAGUGGCGAACGGGUGAGUAAUGCACCGGAACGUACCCAGUAAUGGGGGAUAACACAUCGAAAGAUGUGCUAAUACCGCAUACGCCCUGAGGGGGAAAGCGGGGGAUCGCAAGACCUCGCGUUAUUGGAGCGGCCGAUGCCGGAUUAGCUAGUUGGUGGGGUAAAGGCCUACCAAGGCGACGAUCCGUAGCUGGUCUGAGAGGACGACCAGCCACACUGGGACUGAGACACGGCCCAGACUCCUACGGGAGGCAGCAGUGGGGAAUUUUGGACAAUGGGCGCAAGCCUGAUCCAGCCAUGCCGCGUGAGUGAAGAAGGCCUUCGGGUUGUAAAGCUCUUUCGCAAGGAAAGAAAACUUACCUUCUAAUAAAGGGUGAGGUUGACGGUACCUUGAUAAGAAGCACCGGCUAACUACGUGCCAGCAGCCGCGGUAAUACGUAGGGUGCGAGCGUUAAUCGGAAUUACUGGGCGUAAAGCGUGCGCAGGCGGUUCGACAAGUCUGAUGUGAAAUCCCCGGGCUCAACCUGGGAACUGCGUUGGAAACUGUCGGGCUAGAGUGUAGAAGAGGGGGGUAGAAUUCCACGUGUAGCAGUGAAAUGCGUAGAGAUGUGGAGGAAUACCGAUGGCGAAGGCAGCCCCCUGGGCUAACACUGACGCUCAUGCACGAAAGCGUGGGGAGNCAACAGGAUUAGAUACCCUGGUAGUNCACGCCCUAAACGAUGUCUAC
rnacentral:rRNA from 1 species